CGCAGGCUGUGAAAAGCAUAAAAGGGAGAUCUGAUCCAGAGACGUGUCAGUCAGGAAGGCAGACUGAGGUCGAGGAAGGGAGCAUUUCUAGCGUCAUCCGUUUCUUACGUAAUGAAUGACUAAAUGUUUGUCAGCAGCUACUACAGAGGACACUCAGAAGGGCUGUGCUAGAGACGCUGUGAACUUGUCAGCAGGAAGAGUCCUUGAGCUCUUUAGUGAUGCUCCAGAACUCACGGUGGUUUGCUUAGUCAAAGCCAGGAACAGAAAAAGAGAGGGUCGCCAUCAUUUCCAAUUUCUGAGCUCAUGUUCAUUGAAUCUUAUUUGUCAGGCCUGUGUGUGGGAAAACUUAGAGCUUUGAGCUUCCAAAUCUUGUGCAUCAUCACAAAGCAGAUUAAAAGGCAGCGCCGCCAUUUGAACCAACCAAGCUGACUCCUGAGACCAUUCCCACUACAUUUUGAAGGUGUCAAGAUGGGAGCCUGGAACUGAAAGAAGGCAGGUCUCUGGCCUUAUGAAGAAGGAAAACAACAGCAAAAGACAUUCUUUGUCAUUUAAUAGCAGAGAAGUGCCUCCGUUGGCUUCAUAGCCCAGUGGAUGUGAAUAGUCCAAUCACUUCUGUAUCACUGUAGUCCUGUGGAUCUUACUGUUUUGAAGUGGUGCCCCUCAGUGCUGGAAUUGGAGUCCAAUGUAGCAUCAGUGUGUUGAGACUGUAUAGAAUAAAUCUUUUUUUCCUGCAGAAAUGGAGAUAAAUGAUUAUUCUGGAUUUUGCUUACUAAUAUGAUAAUAAUGUCACUUCUAAUUAGGGACGUCUUAGGAAAAUGGAGAGAGGCCACAUUUGCAUUAAGGCUUUCCUGCUGUGUAUGCCAAAUCAAUUUACUUGCAAUUUGCUAAAGAUGGGGUGAAUUAAUCAAUUUGAGUGUUAUGUCCCUUGGGUACCUGUCUCUUAUAUUGAAGUUGCAAACAGUGCUUAUAAUUGGUCAUGGCAAAACAAUUGCAAGCAGAUAAAUAUCCCCAUAAAGGCAACAUUUGGCUCCUCAAUAUUUUGACACCCAGCUCUUAAAAUCAAACCAGCUACCUAAAUUUCUCUGGCAUUAAUGUUACUUUUGUAUAUGCUGUUAAUGGAAAGGCAUUUGUUAAUGUUCUGUGGCGUCGCUGCAUUAUUAAUUCAUUAACUACAGAUUAAGUCUAUUCAAAUCCCAAAGGAACAACAUUGUUUACUUUUUAUGUCUUACUGGAUUCACAUACUUUCGUGAAGUUGGGGGAUUCAGUAUCAAAAAAAUAAAAGCUGUAUUACAUUAAAUAUUAAUCAGUUUAUUAAAUUUCUACAAAUAUAAUACCAUCCUUUGAAUUAGUCUUAUGAAGUGAAGGUAUGUCUCUUUCAAUUGAAUUGCAUUUGAUUCAUUCUCACUGUUUUUUGGGGUUUUUUUGGCUGGUUUUGUAGUGGAGGAUACUUUUCCCGAUGGAGCAGACAGAAAGAGGGAGAUUUCUUUCCAUCUGACGCUGGCUUAUAAAUGCUACCUAUCACUCUAACUUAUUAUUAAACUUGAGAAAACUUCAAAAUUGACCCUUUAGAAAUUCUGUCCAGGGGUCAAAAGAACAUACAUUCUGUUGCAAAAUGGCACCUCUAUUGAUGACAUUUUAAAGAAAACUCACACAAGUGUAAAAUCAUAAGCCUUUGCUUCUGAAAGCAGCUUGUUUAAAGCUUUGGUGGGUGGGGGAUAUGUUUCAGCUUCUGUGAGCUUCAGGCAUCAGUGUUCCAUUGUUGGGGGGCUGAGUGUUUCAGCUUCAAUAUAGGAUAUCUUCAAAAUGCAAUUUAGUUUUAAUAAUUUGUUAUGAUAUGAAUGAGACAGAGAUUAAGACUGGAUCCACUGUAGCCCAAGUGUAUCAUCUGUGCUAAAAACAUAUAUAUCAUCUGUGAUUUUAAAUAAUUUGCUUAGAUGCUGUCAUAAAAAUGUGU